rnacentral:lncRNA from 1 species
AGCCAAGGAUCCCCCAGCGCUGGGCCGGGCGCGGUCUGAGGGCCCCGCGCAUUCGAAAGGAGGGGCUGUCUCCCAGAGGAGCUGGCUGUGGGGGCGCCGGGCUCCAGGGAGGACAAUGGCCCCUCUUGGCCCUGGGAACCCCGCCCCCAGCUACCCUCUCGGUUCCGCCCUUGCGACAGCCCCACCCUGCGGCUUUGUACGGAGGGUCUUUUUUCCCCACGCCGGUUUAGAGACCAACCCGCACCAUCCCAGCUCCCUGUCUUUUGGCAGACAAGGUGCUCUGAGCUUUUGCCGGUUUUGGGUGGGGGAGGUAGGUAAAGGCUGGCCCAGGCCCUGAACCCACUGAGAAGAAACAAAGCGUCGGAUCAGAGCUCGGAAGGGCGCGAACACAGAGGGGUGGCGGCGGCCGAGAGCGAGCUCCGUGGGUCGCCGGCUUCCGCAGUGGGCGGGGAGGGGGUGGGCACCCGACCUCCUCCACCAAGGGGCUGCCAUGAGCGUCCAAAGGAGCUUUGUGGGCCCGGGCGCGCACAGCACCUGGACGUGCCACUGCCCGGUGCGCAUCCGUGUCAGGAAUUGUCACAAGGACGCACAAGCCAGGAGCCGCUGCAAGGCUGUGGAUGAAGCUUUCUGGUCACAAAGCCCCUUCUCCUGGGGCUGCUGUGGGAGUAGCUCUUGGCACACACUUCCACCCAGAGACUUCACAUCCCAGCUGACGAGGGCACGGUCCUGAGAGCUGGCAGCAAAGAUGGGGUGGGGUGGAUGCUGCUCAGUCAUUGGAGCAGACGGAGUGUCCCAGGAGUGGGCGGAAAAUGUCUCUUUAGGAGCCUGAGGUUGGCCCCUGGUGCCCGGAGCCUGAGGCCCCACAACCUCCCCAUGUCCUCCUCCGUUCCCCACGACUGCUGGUGAGAAGUCCUGCCUGGAGUUUUGCAGGGACCCCUCCCUGGACCCAGAAGGGUCCGCGCUUCAACACUUUCAGAGAUCAUUUAGUCCAUCCUCUUUGACAAACGGGGACCAGGGAGGUAAGGAACUGCCCAGGGUCACACAGGAACCAGACCACACAAUAUCACCACCUCCCUCUGCCCAGCACACUUAAAGCCGCGUGCACCGCGCUCACCAGGAGCAUGUCAGCACCUCCUUGAGCGUCCUGCGGAGCUCCUGGCUGUGGAAGGCGUAGAUGAGGGGGUCGAUGAUGGCAUUGCAGAUGAUGAGGGCGAGAAAGAGGUUGAAGUUCUUGAAGAUGCAGCCGCACGUGGGGUGCUCGGGGCAGAGGACGAUGAGUGUGAGAUGCAGGAAGAAGGGGCCCCAGCAGAGGAAGAAAAUGCCCAGCAGGAUGGUGAGGGUGACAGCGCCUUUAAGGCCAAAGCCCUGGUGGACCGGGCGCUGCCUCUUGUGGAGCCGGGCGAUGCCCUGGGCGUGCUGGCAGGCCCGGGCCAGCAUGUGGACGUACAGCACGGCCAUGAGCACCAGCAUAGCCAGGAAGAAGACCACGAGGCACA